GUGAAUCAUCGAAUCUUUGAACGCAUAUUGCGCUCGAGGCCUCGGCCGAGAGCAUGUCUGCCUCAGCGUCGGUUUCACCCUCGCCAUGAGUUCCCCUGCGGAUCUCAAGGGCGGAGUUGACCGUCCUGCUGCCCUCUGGUGCAGCGGGUCGGUUGAAGCGCAGCGGCUCCAGCAAACACCCACUCGGGCGCUGGCUAGGUAGGUAGCUCCGGCUGCAUGCCGCCAGACUGCCCCGGAUUUGCAUGGGAGCCUUCCUUUGAAACUUUUACUUUCGACCUGAGUUCAGGCAAGAGCACCCGC
rnacentral:misc_RNA from 1 species